CUCGUAGGCGGUUCGUCGCGUCCGGUGUGAAAGUCCAUCGCCUAACGGUGGAUCUGCGCCGGGUACGGGCGGGCUGGAGUGCGGUAGGGGAGACUGGAAUUCCCGGUGUAACGGUGGAAUGUGUAGAUAUCGGGAAGAACACCAAUGGCGAAGGCAGCCCCCUGGGCCUGUACUGACGCUCAUGCACGAAAGCGUGGGGAGCAAACA
rnacentral:rRNA from 1 species